rnacentral:lncRNA from 1 species
AUGUGGUGCGGGAUAGCACCGAAUCCAGCCGGGUCGGCUCCAGAUGCGCGGCGCUGGUGGACCGAGCCCAGCUGGGGGACGGGGCCGGCGGAGCUCCCUCCCUUCCGCGGGGCUGGAACCGGCCCCUGGGCAGCGCCCCCAGCUCCUCCCCGCUCUGUAGGGCCGGUCCGAGCCCCUCCUCCCGUUUCCGCUGGCAGGAGCUGGAGCCGUGUCCUGCCGUGCCUGUGCAGCUCCCUCAGGACUCGGCCCUAUCCGGCUCGGCUCGGCCCGGCCCGGCCCGGCCCAGCCCAGCCCGGCCCAGCCCAGCCCAACGCGGUCCAGGGACGUGCGGAAUUUAAGAAGUGCAACAUGGCAAGAGGCUGCCUGUGUUGUUUGAAAUAUAUGAUGUUCCUUUUCAAUUUGAUAUUUUGGGAAGUAGGCAUCCACCUAAUAGUUUGCACUACAGUAAUGUUGUCCAGAGUUGAUAGCUGGUGUGAUCCUGGCAUUCUGGCAAUCCACCUAUCUGCAGACGUAGUGAGGUGGGUUUUUCUGUUUUUGUUUGUUUUGUUUUGUUUUGUUUAUUUGGUUUGUUUGUUUGUUUGCUUUUUACUUUCUUGUGAAAUUCACUCAUGA